rnacentral:rRNA from 1 species
GACGGACGGUGCAAGCGUUGUUCGGAAUCACUGGGCUUAAAGGGCGCGUAGGCGGGCUACCAAGUCUGUGGUGAAAUCCUCCAGCUCAACUGGAGAACGGCCGUGGAUACUGGGAGCCUCGAGGGAGAUAGGGGCAGGCGGAACUGAUGGUGGAGCGGUGAAAUGCGUUGAUAUCAUCAGGAACGCCGGUGGCGAAGGCGGCCUGCUGGAUCUCAUCUGACGCUGAGGCGCGAAAGCCAGGGGAGCAAACGGG